rnacentral:rRNA from 1 species
UACGAAGGGGGCUAGCGUUGCUCGGAAUCACUGGGCGUAAAGGGUGCGUAGGUGGAUAUUUAAGUCAGGGGUGAAAUCCUGGAGCUCAACUCCAGAACUGCCUUUGAUACUGAGUAUCUUGAGUUCGGGAGAGGUAAGUGGAACUGCGAGUGUAGAGGUGAAAUUCGUAGAUAUUCGCAAGAACACCAGUGGCGAAGGCGGCUUACUGGCCCGAUACUGACGCUGAGGUGCGAAAGCGUGGGGAGCAAACAGG